rnacentral:rRNA from 1 species
GACGAACGCUGGCGGCGUGCUUAACACAUGCCAGUCGAACGGAAAGGCCCCUUUGGGGGUACUCGAGUGGCGAACGGGUGAGUAACACGUGAGUAACCUGCCCUUGACUUCGGGAUAACUUCAGGAAACUGGGGCUAAUACCGGAUAGGAAUCCUUGCUGCAUGGGGGGGGUUGGAAAGCGUCGGCGGUUUUGGAUGGACUCGCGGCGUAUCAGCUUGUUGGGGGGGUAGUGGCUUACCAAGGCUUUGUCGGGUAGCCGGACUGAGAGGGCGACCGGCCACAUUGGGACUGAGAUACGGCCCAGACUCCUACGGGAGGCAGCAGUGGGGAAGAUUGCACAAGGGGCGGAGGCCUGAUGCAGCAACGCCGCGUGCGGGAUGACGGCCUUCGGGUUGGAAACCGCUUUCAGCAGGGGCGAAGCUUGUGGUGACGGUACCUGCAGAAGAAGCACCGGCUAACUACGUG